rnacentral:lncRNA from 1 species
UAUAGGGUAUAUUCUGUAAUAGUUCCCCUGGGCCCGAUGAGGAUCAGGUCUACCUCUGACCCAAUGGAGCUUGACUAUCCGUCAAUGUGCAUAACCCACAACUCUUCAGAUUCUUCUUCAGACCAAUCUAUUAGCUAGCACUUGCACCUUGAUGGAUGGUCAGGAUCGAAACUUCACAUCAAACUCUAUGAGUUCGAUUGCCCACUUUGCCACCC